GGCAGCCGCGGUAAUUCCAGCUCCAAUAGCGUAUAUUAAAGUUGUUGCAGUUAAAAGCUCGUAGUUGAAUUUCGGGGUCAGUAGGUCGGUCGUGCCACUGGUAUGAACUGGUUUUACUGAUUCCUCCCUCUUGAAGAACUGUAAUGCCAUUAAUUUGGUGUUGCAGGGAAUCAGGACUGUUACUUUGAAAAAAUUAGAGUGUUUAAAGCAGGCUUUAGCUUGAAUACAUUAGCAUGGAAUAAUGAAAUAGGACGUUUGAUCCUAUUUUGUUGGUUUCUAGGAUUGACGUAAUGAUUAAUAGGGAUAGUUGGGGGCAUUAGUAUUCAAUUGUCAGAGGUGAAAUUCUUGGAUUUAUUGAAGACUAACUACUGCGAAAGCAUUUGCCAAGGAUGUUUUCAUUAAUCAAGAACGAAAGUUAGGGGAUCGAAGACGAUCAGAUACCGUCGUAGUCUUAACCAUAAACUAUGCCGACUAGGGAUCGGAUGAUGUUAAUUUUUUAAUGACUCAUUCGGCGCCUUAC
rnacentral:rRNA from 1 species